GAGCACUGUAUAUGGAAUUGGAAGACUUAGAUUUGAGUCCGAUUGACCUAACAUGCUUAGACUUUUGUAAAAUUUACAUCUCUGGGCAUCACUUUCCACAUCUGUAUAAGGAUCUUGUACUAAAUGAACUCUUAAGAUGUCUUCCAACACUAACAUUAUAUGAUUUCAGCAAUUUACAUGUUAUAGUAUUAGAUAAAUCAUCUUUUCCAGACAUUUUUCCUGAUAGGUGAUGGAAUCUGAGAUUCUUUGGCUGUUUAAAGAUGUUCUUGUUUGCUUUAUUAUAAUAACUUUCUUAAAAAUUUGCUGUGACUUGGAUUAAGAAUAGGAAAAAUUGGACCACAGUCGAAGGAUAGUAGGUCAUGGGCACUAUUUGCAGACUAGGGUGAAUUCUGCUUUAUAGAAAAAUAUCUCGAAAAGAAAUAAGGUGAGACUUCUGAAGUGAAGAAUAUGGAAUUUUCCAUAACUUGGACAGUUCUUCAAGAAAGGUUCUUAUGAAUCUCAGACUAUUGGUAAGUUUGCUAAUAUUUUAAAAUGGAAUUUGCAUAUUUUCAUUGCCACUUUCUAAUAUGGCUGUUUCUUUGACAGGGAAAAGGAAAUGCUGUCUAACCUCUACAUGACAUUAUAUGAUGAAGUAACCCAUGGAUAUUUACACUCAAAAGAAUUAAGUGGUAAUAAGAGGUUCUAAAAUUUCUUGAAUACAUUUCCUGGUUAUGUGCUUUUUAGGAAUUGUUUCAGCAGUUAGUGCCUCUUCAUCUACUCCUAAUGGCUUAUGGUAUCAACUGAUAAUACAUGGUAUGGCAAAUGCUGCGGGCUGUGAGGAAGCAAAAGUAGAUAGUUUAAUCCAUAAAUAUCUUUGGUUGUAUUGGUAAGAUAGGGAAAAUAUAAUAUGUAGCUUAUACUAGUUCAAAUGUAUUUUUUGGAAAAAUGUCUGCAUAUUACAUCCCAUGGAUAAAUUAGUAAGUGCUGGAGUCACUGAUAUCACUGGAAUUUAGUCUUUGGUAUCUUAGUAUUAAGGCUUAUACUACCCUUCACUCCUUCAUGACACUGACCUCUCCCGUAUCUUGGGUUUCUCCUUUAUACUUAUGGAAUAAUUUCACAUAGUUUUCCUUUUACCUUAACUCUGGUUGUCAUAUUGUGUAUCUUAGUGUCCAAAUGGGUGACUCAUACUUCUGGAGCUUCACACGUUCAAAACCAAUAAUUUUACCUUGAUUCUCCUGACCAACACUGAUGGCCACAAAUUACACAUUGUCAUUAUGUGAAAAUCUCAGACGUCAACGUCUUAUUCUUCACUCACAAUCUCUUAUACUUCCAGCUCUUUUUAUUUAGAAUUUUAUUUCCUUGACCUCUCCAUUUGGUGCCACUAUGAUUGUAUGAUUUCCAACCUCAGCUGCCCUUAGCACCAGUUGGUAUUCCCUUUAAGUUUUGGUGUGAUCUCUCCUGUUUCCUUUGGUAUCUAUUCCAAACCUUCACUACUCUCCUCAAAUACUCAAUUAUGUCACCUAUCCAACUUUAAACAUUUAAAAAUGUUUUACUUAAUUAAAAUAAAAUUAAAACUUGCUAGUCUGAAAUCUAUGAAACUGAAUCUUUUCUCCCCUAUUUCUUUUGAAAAAAAUUUUAUUGUGGUAAAAAUAUUUAACAUGAGAUCUACCCUCUUAACAGAUUUUAAAAAUGUAAGUUAUUCUUAUCUAUAGGCACAAUAUUGUACAGUAUUUCUAUAGAACUUAUUCAUCUUGUGUAACUGAAAUUUUAUACUCACUGAUUAGCAACUCACUAUUUCCUCAUACCCCCUGCUCCAGGCAACUACAAUUCUAUUCUUUGUUCCAUAAGUUUGACUAUUUUAGAUGCUUUAUAUAAUUGGAAUUCUGUAGUAUUUGUCCUUCUGUAACUGGCUUAUUUCACUUAGCAUAAUGUCCUUCAUAUUCAUUCAUGUUAUUACAUAUUACAGGAUUUUCUUCUUUUUAAAGGCUGAUUGAUAUUCUGUCAUAUGUAUAUAACGUACUUUACCCCCCCCCCCAUUUAUCUGACAUUUAGGUUGUUUCCACAGAUAUUUAGAUUGUUUUCCAUAGGUUGGCUAUUGUGAAUAGUACUGCAGUGAACAGGGGAGUACUACUGUCUCUUCAAAAUCCUGGUUUUAAUUCUUUUGGAUAAAUACCCAGAAGUGGGAUUACUGGAUCAUGUGGCUUUGCUUUUUCAUAGAGAGUUAGUAAGGGCUGUUGGGAAGCUUCCUAAACUCCUUGAUAUUCUUACCUACAAACAACAUUCAUAUCCUUUCAUCUUGUCUCAUUGGAAAAGGUGCCCUUUCACCAGACUAAUCCUUUCAUUUCUUGAUUUUCUUCUGCUUUCUCAAGGCCUAUGCUUUGCUAAUUUUAUACUCAAUAUUUUUUCAGAGAAGCCUUUUGAAGGAGUUGUUUUCAUUAGUUGCUGAAUUUUCUCACUUCCCAUUUCAUGGAAAUCUGGCUUCCACCUCCAAAAUUCUACUAAAACUUAUUUUAUUAAAGCCAUUAUUAUCAACUCUUUAGUCAUUAUUUUGUAUUUAUCACUGUUAGGGCUAGGUGAGGUGGCUCAUGCCUGUAUUCCCAGCACUGCGGAAGGCCAAUGUGGGAGGAUCAUUUGAGACUAGGAGUUCAAGACCAGCCUGGGCAAUAUAGUGAGAUCCCAUCUCUACAAAAAAUAACAAAAACAAAAAAUUAGUUGGGCAUGUUGGCACACAGCUGUAGUCCUAGCUACUGGAGAGGCUGAGGUAGGAGGAUUGUUUAAGCCCAGGAUUUCGCGACAGGAGUUUGAGACUGCAGUGAGCCAUGAUUGCACUACUGCAUUCCAGCCUGAGCAACAGAGAAACUCUGGCUCUAAAAAGACAAACAAAAAUAGCACUAUCAUCAAUUGCCUCUUUUCUGAAAAUAAAGUGUAGUAUCCACUGAACCAAAAAAUUCAGUUCAAUAGACAUUUUUUUGAGAAUUUCUUAAUUAGGCACUAGAAACAGAAGAAUGAAAAAAUCUUGCUCCAUAGAAGCUGACAGUUUAGUGAGGGAUAUUGACAUGCAAGCAAUCAUAAUACCAAGGGCUUUCACUGAGAUACAUAGUAAGUGCUAUGGGAACACAGAGGAAAAAUUUACCAUUCCUAGGGCAAGUUGUGGAAGCCUUUGCCUAUGUGCCCUUGUGUGACUUGUCUGACAGUUUCUGAAAGUUCUUUAGGAAACAGGUUGAAAGAUUUGAAUAUUAAAAGAUUGAAGAGGGUGGGGUAAAAAAGAAACAAGUUUGAAAGGCUGAAAACACAGAUUGGCUCCCUUUUUAGUGAUUAUUA
rnacentral:lncRNA from 10 species